UUUUACAAAAACAUUUUCUUUGGUUUACACUGAUAAAAUUAAAGGGCCGCGGUAUUAUGACCGUGCUAAGGUAGCAUAAUCAUUAGUCUCUUAAUUAGGGAAUAGUAUGAAUGGUUAAACACACAAAAAUUUUAUUACCAAAAGUGGUUGAAUUUUAAUUUUAAGUGAAAAUGCUUAAUUAGCGUGAGAAGACGAUAAGACCCUAUAGAGCUUAAUAUAUUUUUUUAUGGCUUACUUUGGGGGAAGUAAGCCAUAAAAAAAAUAUAUUUAGUUGGGGCAAUUUUAGAAUAAAUAAAAUUUCUAAAAAUUUGUGUUUACCAUUAAUUUAAUAAGUUAAAAAGUUACCUUAGGGAUAACAGCGUUAUAAUUUUUGAGAGUUCAUAUCGACAAAAUUGAUUGCGACCUCGAUGUUGAAUUAAAAUUUCUGUUGAGGCAGAACUACAAUAGAUAGUCUGUUCGACUAUUAAAUUUUUACAUGAUUUGAUUCAGACCGGA
rnacentral:rRNA from 1 species